AGGGUUCGAUUCUGGCUCAGAACGAACGCUGGCGGCAGGUCUAGGCAUGCAAGCGAACGGAUGACAAGGGAGCUUGCUUCCUUGAAGUCAGUGGCGCACGAGUGAGUAACGCGUGGGAAACUGCCCUUCACUGGGGAAUAACGUUUGGAAACGAACGCUAAUACCGCAUACGCCCGCAAGGGGAAAGAUUUAUCGGUGAUGGAUGUGCCCGCGUUGGAUUAGCUAGUUGGUGGGGUAAUGGCCUACCAAGGCGAUGAUCCAUAGCUGGUCUGAGAGGACGAUCAGCCACGCUGGAACUGAGACACGGUCCAGACUCCUACGGGAGGCAGCAGCUAAGAAUAUUGGGCAAUGGAGGAAACUCUGACCCAGCCAAUGCCGCGUGAAUGAAGAAGGCCUUCGGGUUGUAAAGUUCUUUUAGUCAUGAAGAUGAUGACAGUAGUGACAGAAAAAGCACCGGCUAACUUCGUGCCAGCCGCAGC
rnacentral:rRNA from 1 species